GCCGAGCGGUAUUUGUUCUUCGGAACAGAGAGAGCGGCGUACGGGUGCGUAACACGUGUGCAACCUGCCUUUAUCUGGGGGAUAGCCUUUCGAAAGGAAGAUUAAUACCCCAUAAUAUAUUUUACGGCAUCGUAAGAUAUUGAAAACUCCGGUGGAUAGAGAUGGGCACGCGCAAGAUUAGAUAGUUGGUGAGGUAACGGCUCACCAAGUCAAUGAUCUUUAGGGGGCCUGAGAGGGUGAUCCCCCACACUGGUACUGAGACACGGACCAGACUCCUACGGGAGGCAGCAGUGAGGAAUAUUGGACAAUGGGUGAGAGCCUGAUCCAGCCAUCCCGCGUGAAGGACUAAGGCCCUAUGGGUUGUAAACUUCUUUUAUACUGGGAUAAACCUACUUACGUGUAAGUAGCUGAAGGUACAGUAUGAAUAAGCACCGGCUAACUCCGUGCCAGCAGCCGCGGUAAUACGGAGGGUGCAAGCGUUAUCCGGAUUUAUUGGGUUUAAAGGGUCCGUAGGCGGAUCUGUAAGUCAGUGGUGAAAUCUCAUAGCUUAACUAUGAAACUGCCAUUGAUACUGCAGGUCUUGAGUGAGAUUGAGGUAGCUGGAAUAAGUAGUGUAGCGGUGAAAUGCAUAGAUAUUACUUAGAACACCAAUUGCGAAGGCAGGUUACCAAGUCUUAACUGACGCUGAUGGACGAAAGCGU
rnacentral:rRNA from 1 species